ACUUAGAAGAUAGAUAUCAUGGAUCCCAUAGAGCUCUCAGUCUCUAGCCUAGUCUAUGGCUCAUAGUCUUCGCUUAUACUUAGAGUAGUUCGCCCUCUUUAGAAGUCAGGUAGUUCCUUAGUGUUCGCUCUCAACAACUAGUACGCCCUGUUCUCGAAAGCCGAAGAGCAGCUAAACUAAACUUCACUUACAUAGGCUGGGGCUGGGGGUGGAUAAGGUUCUUUCUUGCUAUCGAUCUAUUACGGCCAGCUUUCAGAGUCUAAAAAGUAUAUGGCCAAGGCCAGGGUUCUAAACCUCGAAGUCUGUUGUUGACUCCUGAUGGAUAGAGGAUGGCUCGCUUCUGCCUUCCCAACAGUCCCAUCCCUUCCCAGAAUCUUGUUUCAAUCAAUCCAACCAGGCUACGGCGCAUAUUUCCAAUAAACGCCGCUAUGCCUUCUUCCAAGACCUAUAUACCAAGCAAGGAGUGUUCAUUCCGCAAGUUUGUUCCAAAAGAAUCUCCGGAUUCGAUCUGUUCAGUUCGGGAAUGAAUUCUCUUUGUCAAGUCGCUUUCCCGUUCAUUGGGUUGUUCGGAACGGAUCGAAGAAUGAGAGAGAUUUCUAAUCUCGAUUUGAAGGGAGUGCAGUUCCAUUGUUCAAGAAAACGGGAUUGCAAGCAGCACGGGUUAAAUAAAAAUAACAUUUAUGAUAUUUUUAUUUUUAGUCUUUUUUUCAUUUUGGGGUGGGGAGUCUUUUUCCCCAUCAACUUAUUUAUCCCAAUUACAAAAAUGAAAGUUUUUCUUUUUUCUCUAUAUCUAUAGAAGGGCAAAUAUAAUAUCUUUAGUUAAAAUUAAUGAAUCGUUGAAACUAAUUGAUUCUAGUUAUUUUGAAAACUUUUUGUGUAACUUUAUAACNNNN
rnacentral:lncRNA from 1 species